CUUGUUAAAACCUCACACUGCCCCCGUCAUCUCAACCUAGAACUCCUCCUCUAACCACAAGGCCACAAGACAGUUAAAAGGCUAAAUGCCUAACCACCCACUGUGAUCUCCACUGGAUCACUGGAUCUCCUCUCGGUUCCCCGCCCCUUUUCCUCUUUUUGCGACACAACCCUCUUUGCGAUAUAACUUACAGACUCUUAACUCACAGAUAGACUCGGGUAGCCACUAGCUGCAUAACACAAAGAGCCGAUACCUCUCGCCCACUACUAAUCUAUCCCUGACUCAAGAGGCCUACAGCCAGCCCAUAAGCUAGACACCCCCACUGAGGUACUCACUUGACCCCUACUGACCAGGAACCUACCCAUGAUCCACCCAAAUUGUCAACCUUGAAUCUACCCAUGCUAUCCUUAAACAGCAGGCAACCUCUGACAACAAAGUUAACCUAAGGUAAUACAAGACACUUCAAACUCCCCGAGCUCACAUAACUCAGUUCGGAAAGGAGGUGAAACCUAUACGGACGCCAUACUGAUAGGGCUACUACACAAAGCCCACCACUAUACUGGAGAAUACAAUGCCCAUGGUUCAUGAUAUACUAGAUGGUAUGUUAACCAACACAAUGUUGCAAAGUGACGCCAACACUAGUUACCCGGGCAUCGCUUGCCGACUCGGCCAUCCCCCCCAGGUCAUCACUACAUCUACUUUUAUGAACAAUACACAACCCCCUUUGGCAGUAGCUGCCUGGCAGUUUACCAGUUUACCAGUCUACCACAAUGACUUCUAAAUGUUAUAUAAUGAUGUAUAAUAUGUUGCGACCCCUGUGUGGGUCCCCUUCAAUGCUG